CGGGACGUGGCCCAGCUUGGUCCAAGGCGCCGGUCUGGGGGACCGGAGAUCCCGGGUUCAAAUCCCGGCGUCCCGA
rnacentral:tRNA from 1 species